GCUCUAGAGCGGUCAGCCCAGAGCCUGAUGCGGGGCUCGAACUCAUCAACCAUGAGAUCAUGACCUGAUCUGAAAUCGGACGCCUAACGACUGAGCCGCUCUCAGCGCCCCUUCCUUUCUUCCUUUUAAAGGAGCAUGGCUGAGCUGGUGACAGAAAGGGAGCCGAGGGGACUGCCCCAGCACAGGUUUCUGGCUUCAAAACAGAAGGACGGAAGUGCCUACCCAAAGGAAACCGUUAGGCCCAGAUAGCAUCUCAGUCACCCAAGCCUUGCAGUCUGAACCAGCCAAGCAGUAAAUAAAGGCCAGGGCAGGAUGAAGAACAGGGAGCAGUAGAGACACAGCCAGGGCAGGGAUCCCAAAGAGGAGCCCGUAUCACCACGGGCAGCCGGACGCACAUGGCAGGCCCUCAACAGAUAUUUGAAAAUAUGGAAGUUCUCAAUGAAUGACAGAGAGACACUAAAAGGACACCGAAGCCCGCUUACAGGAGUAUCGGCUUAGGUCACGAUCUCAUGGUCGUGAGUUCGAGCCCCACGCCGGGUUCUGUGCUGAGCAUACAGCCUGCUUGGG